UACGUAUGGUGCGAGCGUUAAUCGGAUUUACUGGGCGUAAAGCGUGCGCAGGCGGCCCGUUAAGACAGGUGUGAAAUCCCUGGGCUCAACCUAGGAAUUGCGCUUGUGACUGGCGGGCUCGAGUACGGUAGAGGGGGGUGGAAUUCCUGGUGUAGCAGUGAAAUGCGUAGAGAUCAGGAGGAACACCGAUGGCGAAGGCAGCCCCCUGGGCCUGUACUGACGCUCAUGCACGAAAGCGUGGGGAGCAAACAGG
rnacentral:rRNA from 1 species